GCGCGGUUAGCUCAGUGGUAGAGCACCACCUUGACACGGUGGGGGUCACUGGUUCGAACCCAGUAUCGCGCACCA
rnacentral:tRNA from 5 species